CAGAAAAUAGUUUAAAAAAAAUAUAGGUUUUGGAAAUCUUUGAUGCCUAAUAGGUUUUUCUGA
rnacentral:tRNA from 1 species